rnacentral:rRNA from 1 species
AUUGAACGCUGGCGGUAGGCUUAACACGUGCAACUCAAACGAUGAAACUCUACCUUGCUACAGAUGAUUACUGGCGGACGGGUGAAUAACAUUUAGGAAUCUGCCUAGUAGGUGGGGCAUAGCUCGGGAAAACUCAAAUUAACACCCCAUACGACCUACAGGUGAAAGGAGCGCCAAGCCUCCUCGCUAUUAGAUGAGCCUAAAUCAGAUUAGCUAGUUGGUGGGGUAAAGGCCCACCAAGGCGACGAUCUGUAACUGGUCUGAGAGGAUGAUCAGCCACACCGGAACUGAGACACGGUCCGAACCCCUACGGGAGGCAGCAGUGGGAAAUAUUGGACAAUGGGGGCAACCCUGAUCCAGCCAUGCCGCGCGAGUAAAGAACGCCUUUUGGUUGUAAAGCACUUUAAGCAGGGAAGACAGGCUAAUGGUUAACACCCAUUAGAUUAGACGUUCCCUGAAGAAUAAGCACCUGUUUACUCUGUGUCAGCAGCCGCGUAAAUACAGAGGGUGCGAACAUUAAUCGUAAUUACUGGGCGCAAAGCCAGUGUACGUGGCUCAUUAAGUCACAUGUGAAAUCCCCGGGCUUAACCUGGGAACUGCAUGUGAUACUGGUGGUGCUAGAAUAUGUGAGAGGGAAGUAGAAUUCCAGGUGUAGCGGUGAAAUGCGUAGAGAUCUGGAGGAAUACCGAUGGCGAAGGCAGCUUCCUGGCAUAAUAUUGACACUGAGAUUCGAAAGCGUGGGUAGCAAACAGGAUUAGAUACCCUGGUAGUCCACGCCGUAAACGAUGUCUACUAGCCGUUGGGGUCCUUGAGACUUUAGUGGCGCAGUUAACGCGAUAAGUAGACCGCCUGGGGAGUACGGCCGCAAGGUUAAAACUCAAAUGAAUUGACGGGGGCCCGCACAAGCGGUGGAGCAUGUGGUUUAAUUCGAUGCAACGCGAAGAACCUUACCUGGUCUUGACAUAGUGAGAAUCCUGCAGAGAUGCGGGAGUGCCUUCGGGAAUUCACAUACAGGUGCUGCAUGGCUGUCGUCAGCUCGUGUCGUGAGAUGUUGGGUUAAGUCCCGCAACGAGCGCAACCCUUUUCCUUAUUUGCCAGCGGGUUAAGCCGGGAACUUUAAGGAUACUGCCAGUGACAAACUGGAGGAAGGCGGGGACGACGUCAAGUCAUCAUGGCCCUUACGACCAGGGCUACACACGUGCUACAAUGGUAGGUACAGAGGGUUGCUACACAGCGAUGUGAUGCUAAUCUCAAAAAGCCUAUCGUAGUCCGGAUUGGAGUCUGCAACUCGACUCCAUGAAGUCGGAAUCGCUAGUAAUCGCAGAUCAGAAUGCUGCGGUGAAUACGUUCGCGGGCCU